ACGCCUAUAGCUCAACUGGUAGAGCGACGGUCUCCAAAACCGUAGGUUGGGGGUUCAAGUCCCUCUGGGCGUGCCA
rnacentral:tRNA from 1 species